rnacentral:rRNA from 1 species
UAGGGAAUCUUGCGCAAUGGGCGAAAGCCUGACGCAGCCAUGCCGCGUGAAUGAUGAAGGUCUUAGGAUUGUAAAAUUCUUUCACCGGGGAAGAUAAUGACGGUACCCGGAGAAGAAGCCCCGGCUAACUUCGUGCCAGCAGCCGCGGUAAUACGAAGGGGGCUAGCGUUGCUCGGAAUUACUGGGCGUAAAGGGCGCGUAGGCGGACAGUUUAGUCAGAGGUAAAAGCCCAGGGCUCAACCUUGGAACUGCCUUUGAUACUGGCUGUCUUGAGUUCGGGAGAGGUGAGUGGAAUGCCGAGUGUAGAGGUGAAAUUCGUAGAUAUUCGGCGGAACACCAGUGGCGAAGGCGACUCACUGGCCCGAUACUGACGCUGAGGCGCGAAAGCGUGGGGAGCAAACAGGAUUAGAUACCCUGGUAGUCCACGCUGUAAACGAUGAGUGCUAGUUGUCGGCAUGCAUGCAUGUCGGUGACGCAGCUAACG